GCGUCGGUAACAGCGAUUCAGCACGCGCCUCCGGAUAGCGUGAAAUCUGGGUUCGAAUCCCAGCUGACGCA